GUACUAUACAUCAUUCAGAUGAGAUGCAUGCUUAAUUAAUGUGCAUUUGUAGGUGUACAUAAUGUGGUGAUCACUAAAGUUACUAUUAAUAUUUAUUUGUUACUACAUCUAUCCCAUUUUAGAAUGGCCAAGCAGUAAUGCCUUUUGACCAAGUUAUGGAUUGUAUUUUUUUCAACCAUUGUUUAAGUUAAACAAAAUCUAUAACUAUAAAGUGGUGCAGUGUUGUAUUGUUGUUGCCCUUUUCCUU